rnacentral:rRNA from 1 species
UGGGGAAUUUUGGACAAUGGGCGAAAGCCUGAUCCAGCAAUGCCGCGUGUGUGAAGAAGGCCUUCGGGUUGUAAAGCACUUUUGUCCGGAAAGAAAUGGCUCUGGUUAAUACCUGGGGUCGAUGACGGUACCGGAAGAAUAAGGACCGGCUAACUACGUGCCAGCAGCCGCGGUAAUACGUAGGGUCCAAGCGUUAAUCGGAAUUACUGGGCGUAAAGCGUGCGCAGGCGGUUGUGCAAGACCGAUGUGAAAUCCCCGAGCUUAACUUGGGAAUUGCAUUGGAGACUGCACGGCUAGAGUGUGUCAGAGGGGGGUAGAAUUCCACGUGUAGCAGUGAAAUGCGUAGAGAUGUGGAGGAAUACCGAUGGCGAAGGCAGCCCCCUGGGAUAACACUGACGCUCAUGCACGAAAGCGUGGGGAGCAAACAGG